UGUCGGGGGUCCGGCGGCGUGCCGGUGCGGCGGAGUGGCUGCCCGCGGGGCGCGGCGCCGCUGUCCCGCCGGCCGGGAGAGGGGUUCGGCCGGCGGCGGAACCUGGCGGGGCCGGCGGCAGUUGGCUCUCGGCCGCGGGGCUCGACUUCCUGGUGCCGGGUCAGCAAAACAGGAAGUGUGAAUGUGUGGACAUAACACCCAGAGGAUGCAGCUGAAAAGCUCUAUGAGAACUGGAGCCAAGGUGCGCUAUGUGUACUGCCAGACCACCUGGACGAGUUCAGGUCAUGGAGAUUUCAAAGGCAGAAUUUAUAAACAAAGACGUUUAAGCUUUCAACAUAAAGUGCAGAAGACAGUGGAAUGAGUUUGGGGAACAGUCAGGGUGGUACAAGAUGCUCAAAGGUAUCUCUGUGACCUUUCUUGAAGUCCACCAACAAGGCCUAACGAACAGUGGGUUGGAGCAGACUGAGGAGCUGGUGAGGACUUCCAGCAGACCAUCCAAAUAGCUGGAAAUGGCUCGAUGCAGCUCACACCCUAUGGGUUUAAGAGGAGAACGUGAUUCGAUUCAUGUCAGUAGGACUUACGGAUCUUUGGCACUGAUGUAAAGGCCUGAUGCACGUGGCCUUGUGCAGCCGGCCCAAUCGCUUCACUCUAGUCCUGUCCCGAGGGUGUGACUCCAGUACACAGGCCACUACCUUGAUCCCUCAGAAGAUGCAGUCCAUAGAAGCAGUCAGACCACAAUCUGCCACGUUUCUGAAUCAGUCCCAGAUGUCCUGGGGCAUCUGUAGAGCUCUGAAAAGUGGAGGGCAAUAGGUGCAUGUCAUCUUUGAAUUAUAUCAUCAGUGGUUCAAAUAAUGUCAUGUAGAUGCUCAGUGUAGGACCAGCCUCUAAAAAUAUUGUAGGGUAAGACAGUAAGGAAUUCCUUCAAGUUCUAUUAAUACAAAGUUGGUAAAUGUUUUCUCCCUUCCCCCAACUUAUUUGAAGGUAUUUAAAAAGAAAGAGAAAAACCCCACAGAACAACCUUUUCCCCUAUGAAAAGAUUAUACAAAAAGGAAACAUCUGAUUUAAUUUACAUUGUCCUUGUGUUUGGGGAUUUUCUUUUUUUUGUUGUUGUUGGAAAUUUGGAUUCCAAAAAUUUAUGCAAAAUGAGCAAUCUCUGUUUGGAAGUGCUAUCACAGAAGAUCAAGAGAAGGUACUGAUAAUGCCUCAUGUUUCCACUUUGCUCUAUAGGAUAAGCACCUCCAUCUUAUAUAUUUCUUCUUAGGGAGGAGAAAUGGUGCACAGAUCCCACAUCUGUCUUGGCCUCCCUCUUUUCCUCCUAUUUCUUCUUUCCAUUAUCAACUGUUCUGGUGGGUUUCAAAUUCACCUUCUCCUGUCAAAGCAUUAGUGUAAAUAAAACAAAAUUUAGUUUUAUAAAUGCAUAAUAGACUCUAGCAGCCUAGUGAAAUACAAUCUUACCUGUAAUGUAAAUAAUUUGGAAAAAUAAAAAAAGUGCUGUAUUACCCUUAAUAGCUGCUGUGCAUAUUAGAUUGAGGAGGCAUAGCAUGAACUCAUCAGUUCUGCCCUGAAAGAACUAAUACGAAGAAGGGUCGGAGUAGAAUAAAUACACUGCUUUAUAAGACGAAAAAACAAAGACAGGUUGAUAGUAUCAUUUGAAAUAAGUCACGGUUUUAUGCAUCCUCCUUCCCACUGAUAAGAUACGUAAGAUAUGUACAAAAUCUACCUUAGAAAGCAUAAGAAGGAAAGGAACUCACUCUCUCAUCAUAUAGUCACGAAGAGGGAAAGAAAAAGCUCCAGCUUUUAGGUUCCCUUUUUUUAGGUUCCAGCCUCCCUACAUCUCUAGAUCUACUGUUAGUCACAUGUUUUAAAUGUUGUUAUGUAUAGAUCAGGAAAGAAAUUUCAGGCCUGUCACUGAAGUGGAAGUUCUUAUACAAAGGGCUGUGAGCCGCAUUAGCCAGCUAGCGUUCAUGCUCAGCAACGGAUUUUCUGCUUUGGGCCAGCUUGACUCCCAGACUAUGUCUCUACUGCUGAAUUAAACAUGGCUGCAAGACAGUGCAGCAGUACUGAGGCCAGCUGGUGCGCUAAGAGUCCAUGUCUGUGCUGUUAAAUUCUCUUGGCAUCCAGAACAUGGGGACUACACCAAACUGGUGUUUGAGUAGUCCCUGGCCCAGGUUAACUUCCAGAUCAGCUCUGGAAAUUUGCUGAGAGUGGUAAGCAGCCUGGGCCAGGGAUCAAUCCUGCAAUUUGUCAGUAGGCUCAGAGGAGCAUCCAGGAAAGUUUCCUUGGGCACUGUUAAUUACCGGCCUAUACGUAGCCCUAUAGACUCCAGACCAACCCAGCUACACAGCUGUGUAGGUAGCUGCUGGUCAUUGUUUGGAUUGUGUCCAAGAGUAUGAAGUGGCACAGACUGCAGGGGAGAGUGGCCCUGGGCAGUAAAUCAAACUUGGUCACAGACAAUGAAAACAGACAGCAGAUUUCACUCUGUGUUUUUAUAUAUUCCUUAAUCCCAUCUUUGCUGAGCACUUUCUACAGUAUGCUUGAACCCAAAAGCAGAGCAGUAAUAGAAGAAUACUGGUUAGCCAUGUAAAUAUAGGUAGCACAGCCAGAGCAGUAAUUUGAGAGAGAUCCUGAGGGAUACUUGGGUUCAUUCAAUAAAAAAAAGGGAAGGGACAAGAUCACUUUAUUCAAAAACAGGUUUACAAAUAUUUAAAUUCUCCGUAGAAGAACAGGGAAAGAGAGAGCAAAGGUACAUAAAACUAAAACAUUAAGACAUCUGGCUUUUUUGAAUGAGCCAGUGUUUUGGAAACUCAUUCUCAAUUUGUUGACUCAGUAAAACGUCUUUUUCUAGAAAUUCCAGCAUUUACAUGGUCACCGCUUGCAUUGUUUUUCUGUAUUUUAUUGCUUCCUCAAGGGAUUAUCAUUAAGUAGUUGAAGUCUAAAUUGUUAACCUGCUUUGGAAUAAUGUAGCAAUUUUUAAACAAGUAAUAAAGAGUGGAUUAUAAAAAUGA